AUUGAACGCUGGCGGCAGGCUUAACACAUGCAAGUCGAGCGGGGGAAGGUAGCUUGCUACCGGACCUAGCGGCGGACGGGUGAGUAAUGCUUAGGAAUCUGCCUAUUAGUGGGGGACAACAUCUCGAAAGGGAUGCUAAUACCGCAUACGUCCUACGGGAGAAAGCAGGGGAUCUUCGGACCUUGCGCUAAUAGAUGAGCCUAAGUCGGAUUAGCUAGUUGGUGGGGUAAAGGCCUACCAAGGCGACGAUCUGUAGCGGGUCUGAGAGGAUGAUCCGCCACACUGGGACUGAGACACGGCCCAGACUCCUACGGGAGGCAGCAGUGGGGAAUAUUGGACAAUGGGGGGAACCCUGAUCCAGCCAUGCCGCGUGUGUGAAGAAGGCCUUAUGGUUGUAAAGCACUUUAAGCGAGGAGUAGGCUACUCUAGUUAAUACCUAGAGAUAGUGGACGUUACUCGCAGAAUAAGCACCGGCUAACUCUGUGCCAGCCGCCGCGGUAA
rnacentral:rRNA from 1 species